UCCGCAUUGGUCCAGUGGUUAGGAUCCCGCUCUUUCACAGCGGUUGCGGGGGUUCGAAUCCCCCAUGCGGAG